AGAGUUUGAUCCUGGCUCAGAUUGAACGCUGGCGGCAUGCCUAACACAUGCAAGUCGAACGGAAACGAUGGGAGCUUGCUCCCAGGCGUCGAGUGGCGGACGGGUGAGUAAUACUUAGGAAUCUGCCCAUUAGUGGGGGACAACUCGAGGAAACUCGAGCUAAUACCGCAUACGCCCUACGGGGGAAAGCGGAGGAUCUUUCGGGACUUCGCGCUAUUGGAUGAGCCUAAGUCGGAUUAGCUUGUUGGUGAGGUAAAGGCUCACCAAGGCGACGAUCCGUAGCUGGUCUGAGAGGACGAUCAGCCACACUGGGACUGAGACACGGCCCAGACUCCUACGGGAGGCAGCAGUGGGGAAUAUUGGACAAUGGGGGCAACCCUGAUCCAGCAAUGCCGCGUGUGUGAAGAAGGCCUGCGGGUUGUAAAGCACUUUCAGUAGAGAAGAAAAGCCCAGGGUUAAUACCCCUGGGUCUUGACGUAACCUACAGAAGAAGCUCCGGCUAACUCCGUGCCAGCAGCCGCGGUAAUACGGAGGGAGCGAGCGUUAAUCGGAAUUACUGGGCGUAAAGCGCGCGUAGGCGGCUUUGUAAGUCGGAUGUGAAAGCCCAGGGCUCAACCCUGGAAUUGCAUUCGAUACUGCAUGGCUAGAGUAUGGUAGAGGGAAGUGGAAUUUCCGGUGUAGCGGUGAAAUGCGUAGAUA
rnacentral:rRNA from 1 species